AUUGAACGCUGGCGGCAUGCCUUACACAUGCAAGUCGAACGGUAGCGGGCCUUCGGGUGCCGACGAGUGGCGAACGGGUGAGUAAUGUAUCGGAACGUACCUCUCAGUGGGGGAUAACGUAGCGAAAGUUGCGCUAAUACCGCAUAUUCUGUGAGCAGGAAAGCAGGGGAUCGCAAGACCUUGCGCUGAUUGAGCGGCCGAUAUCAGAUUAGCUAGUUGGUGAGGUAAAGGCUCACCAAGGCGACGAUCUGUAGCGGGUCUGAGAGGAUGAUCCGCCACACUGGAACUGAGACACGGUCCAGACUCCUACGGGAGGCAGCAGUGGGGAAUUUUGGACGAUGGGGGCAACCCUGAUCCAGCCAUGCCGCGUGAGUGAAGAAGGCCUUCGGGUUGUAAAGCUCUUUCGGCCGGGAAGAAAUCGUAUCAGCUAAUACCUGGUGCGGAUGACGGUACCGGCAUAAGAAGCACCGGCUAACUACGUGCCAGCAGCCGCGGUAACAC
rnacentral:rRNA from 1 species